rnacentral:lncRNA from 1 species
AUUUUUAGUCCUGGGAAAACUUGAGGCAAAAAGAGGUGAAAUGACUUGUCCAGAUCACAUUAUAAAUCAGCAGUUGAAUGAGGAUAGAGUCUAAGUCUACACAUACUGUCUCAUUCUGACUCCCAAGAAAGUAGCCAGGGAAAGACAGACAGUGAAGGUGUUUUUCUUCAGGCCCUGUCUCUUCAGAGGACUGAAUGGUGAAUCUAUGACAUGCGUUCUGGUGCAUGCCAGAGGGGGCUGCUCCCUUCUCUCUCCCCAUGCAUGCCUGAGGACAUUUCUCCCAUCACCUGCCUCUCUGCCCAGCAACCCAAUGGGAGUGCUUUCUCCCUCUCCAGUCUGGGCAUGAAAACUUCUUUCACCAAUGUAGAUCAACAUCUCAUCUUAAAUUUAUUAUAAAAAAUUGUCUGGAACAUGAAGAACUUGGGAACAUAUCAAACUCAUUCUUGAAGUCUGAACCAGAUUAAAAUGUAAUGGAGAAAUGCUUAAUGAAAUAAAUUAAAGAAC